rnacentral:tRNA from 1 species
AAGGAGUUAGUUAAAAUAAAUAUAACAUUAGAGUGUCAAUCUAAAAUUACUAGUUAAAUUAGUACACCUUG